rnacentral:lncRNA from 1 species
GAGGGUUAUACACUAAAAGGACUUAAUAAAAAACGAUCCAAAAUAAAGGGGAAAAUUCGAAAACAAAAAAAUGAAAGAAAGGACCACUGCGCGAUGCGCGCCAAUGCGCAGGGGCUUAAUCUAGAAAUAUUCCAGGCUCCCAAAACGUGGCGUUGAAGCUCGGACCGCAAUGCAAGUGCGCGCAAAUUGUAGGGGAAAUUUAAGAAAAAGGAAUGUGAAUAUAAACCGAUUUGCACAUGGCGCGAAAGGGAGGGACUAAUAUUGUAAAUAAUCCCUCACCGUAAAAACACGCGGGCCAUCAGGGCAGUACACCGGGUCGGGUCGGGUCGGAGGGUAGAUACGACACCGUUUCAAUGCCAUUGGUUACAAGCUUGAAACGGCACCGUAUUCAGACCUUAAAAAGCCCCGAAUUUGGCUAUUCAGCCAUUUCAAAACCCUAGCCUCCUCAUUCUUUUCUUUACUGCCCUUUUUAUCUGGCCAAAACCUAAAGCCCCCUUUCGAACACCCAAACUGCCAUCGAGAAGGCGUUUCGUGCUUCUGGCCUCGGCAAGUCGUUCUUUGGCUUCAAAAUCCUCUCCCUUUAACUUCGAUUUCGAUGAAGCAGGGGAGGAUCGAUGGCUUAACAGUGAGGUAAACCUCUUCGUUUUCCCUUUCUGUUUCUUUUAUUGUUGAUUUCAAAAUAAAAAGAAAAAAAA